UUCUUCCUCCCUUCGAGCGACGCUCUAUGUUUCGAAGACUGGGGAAAUUAGGGUUUGGCUUUUGCUUCUUCAAUUUGCGCUCAAAAAGAGAUUCGCUCUCAAUGACACAAAGCCAAAGCCGGCGAGCUUCCCCAUCCUCAGAGCGCGAACGCCUCUCUGUGCGUUAGCCUCUCGAGUCGUUUCACUCGAAGGAAUUAAUUGCUGAUAGGAGGAAUUCCUCCAUGAAACAACUUGAGUGGUGCAUUUCAUAGCGCUUGGUCUCUUCCUAUACAGGCUCGCGCUUGGUCGCUCGCUCCGAGGAGAGGGUGGCAAAAACUACAAAUAACUCACAUGAAAACCAGGGACUAAUGAAUACAAUUUCAUGCCUAUCUCCACAAGCAAAGCAUUGGAAUUGUCCAAGACACAUAUAUGCUAAUUGAAAAAAAUUGCACAAAGGGGAUGCUCUUAAGAAUCUCUUAUGAAGGGAUGAGGUUUGACCUAGCAAUGACAGAUUUGAAGGAGGAGUGCCCUAUAGAUUAUGAAAAAUUUAUGAGACAAGGCCCUAAGCACUUAUUGUGGGGCUUUCAUCAAGACAAGUACCAAGUGUGAAACGGUUGAUAAUAAUUUAAGUGAGACCUUCAACCUAUAUAUUUGCACAUCAAGAGCAAAACCUAUUCUUGAGAUGCUUGAAGGAAUAAGAACUAUGUUGAUGGAGAGGACGGCCGAGAGAAGUCAUUUAAUCGUGGAUCAAAUAAAUCCAAUUUGCCUGAGGAUUAGAAUAAAGUUGGAGAAGGCUAAGCUAGAGUCUAGGUGUUGUAAUUCUAGAAUGACAAAGGGAAAUAACUUCGAGGUGCAAGUAUUUGACAAAAGAUUUGUGAUUGACUUGGCUGGGAAGACUUAGACUUGAAAGGAAUGAGAUAUAUCCGGAGUACCAUGUAAACAUGCCAUAUGUUGCAUUAAUUUCAUGAAGUUAGAUAUCAAUGAUUAUAUUGAUGACUGCUUCAAGAGAGAUGCUUAUGAGAGAUGUUAUCAAUUUCCCCUCCCAGCCAUGAAUGGACAAUAAAUGUGGCCUAAAGUCAGUGGUGAGCCAAUCAAACCCCCACCUUAUAGAAGGAAAAGGGGGAGAGAGAAGAAAAACAUAAUCAAAGACAAGGAUGAACGAAGUAGUGAUGAUAAAAAAAUUGAUGAAAGUUGAAGUCCAAAUGCGAUGUUCAAAUUGUCUUUAGUAUGGGCAUAACAAGAAAACAUGCAAGAAUCCUACAACACCUAGGCCAUCCAAAGCAAAAAGAGGAAGACGAAAGAAGGCCACUAGUGUGCAGGAUAGUGUGUAGGCUAGUAGACCAUCUAAUACGGACUUUGCUAUCAUCAAGAAGGAGAGAGCACAAGUUAUUUGUUUUUUAGCCACAUUUUAUUUUCAUAAUAGUUGUGUAUUGUCAUUAAUUUUGUUAUGUUGAUUAUGUACCUUUAGGCGCGACAAGGAUAUGGAAUUUUUAUGUCUGAAAUUGGGAAUUCAUAUUUAAGGGUAAUAUUUUUGUCUAAUAUUUUAUAUGUACAUUGAAAAGAAAAACAAGUUCGCAUGUCAGAUUUUUUUUUUUUUUUUUAAAUUGUAGAUGCUUGGUAGUGAAAGAUUUAUUGAUAUCGAAGGUCCAUCCUUCUCCAACGAACAAACAAGAGCAAGGAAUGUUCAAGUUUUACCUAGCCAAUCUUCAGUUGAUAUCUUAGAACUUCCAUGCACUCAACAGUUUGGAAUCGAUGGUGGAUUAUGAAAUUGUGGAUCAAGAAAUGUUAAUGGAUGUUCAGUGCUUGCUGUUGGAUGAAGAUAUUUUGUUGCAAAUUGAAAAGUGCUAGUUUUUAUGUUUUUUGUUAGUUGAUUUGGCUAUGUACUAUAUCUGGUCUGGUGAUUUGGUAAUGUAGCUUUUUAUUUGGGAUGUUUUGGCUAUGUAAAACGUGUUGAGUUAUGCUUACUGUAUUGGGACAUCUCUCUUUUCUAGCAUUAUG